CAAGGUCAUUGACCUUGGUGUCAGUUGAAAGUGCCUAAUUAGUGGAGUAUGCAUACCAAAUAUGAAGUCUCUAUCUCUCACGGUUCAGAAGUUAUGGCGAAAGUUCGAAAAAGCUAUUUUUAGCAUAAAGGUCACAAUCAAGGUCAUAAGGUCAUUGACCUUGGUGUCAGUUGAAAGUGUUUUUGUAGUGGAGUAUCCAUACCAAAUAUGAAGUCUCUAAGUCUCACGGUUCAAAAGUUAUGGCGAAGGUUAAAGUUGACAACAGACAAACAAACAGACAGACAUACAGCUAAACAGACAGACAGGACAAAAACAAUAUGCGCCCCGAAAAAAUUUGGGUGCAUAAAAACUGUCUUGGAGUUAACAGCAGUUCUCUGUUUCUCCUGAAUGUUAUGUACAAUUUGAUCGGGAUCGGAAGAAUGUUUCAAAAAGUCGGGCUCAGUGAUCAAUUAAUUUAAACAACAGACCGCCAAAAUUUAACCUUGGCCUCCAUGUUGCAACGUCUGCUCUGUCUAAAGGAAGAAGUUUGUUGACCAGACAGCCUGAGAUCGUAUUGCUGUAUCAACCAAAAGAUGCAGAUACACGUAUUUCAUAUGCGCGUCUGUGCAUGAGGAGGAGAUUUCUGAAAAAGAAUAUAAGUGCUUAUUCAACUUACGGCGAUUUUAACGGGCUUAAAGCUUGGUCCAUGGAUGGUUAUGUUUGAGGAUUUGCCAAUUCGACCGCAAGUGCUGCUGCAAGAAAUUAAACAUGCAGAGACCUUACAAAUUACAAAGAAGUCUGAAGAAAAUUUUUAUUGGACAGAUGGGUGUAAAGCACAGACCUGAGAUAUAAAUUGAAUUGUGAAAAAUAUGAAUCAGGGAUGCAGGUAGAAAAUGGCAAAUGUGAUCCAGAUUGAUAAAAAAUGUCUAAAAUUUUUUCUUGUUUUGUAAAUAUUCAAUGCUAUGUCAAUUGUUAUUUUUUCCCCAAUACCUUAUAGUGUUGAACAUUUCACUCCCACUUUUGCUUAAAUAGAAUGAAUAAAUUUCCAUUUAUUUAAUAUGAAUAUUAAAAAAUGCCACAUUUUUUCCAUGAUGAACUUGUGGCUUAAAUAAGAGUUCCAGUUUUUUUUCCAUACAUGCUCCUAUUUGUUUGUCAAAGAUAUAAGAUCCAAUACAUUGCUCAUGAA